rnacentral:rRNA from 1 species
ACGAACGCUGGCGGCGCGCCUAACACAUGCAAGUCGAACGAGCGAGAGAGAGCUUGCUUUCUCGAGCGAGUGGCGAACGGGUGAGUAACGCGUGAGGAACCUGCCUCAAAGAGGGGGACAACAGUUGGAAACGACUGCUAAUACCGCAUAAGCCCACAGGUCGGCAUCGACCAGAGGGAAAAGGAGUAAUCCGCUUUGAGAUGGCCUCGCGUCCGAUUAGCUAGUUGGUGAGGUAAUGGCCCACCAAGGCGACGAUCGGUAGCCGGACUGAGAGGUUGAACGGCCACAUUGGGACUGAGACACGGCCCAGACUCCUACGGGAGGCAGCAGUGGGGAAUAUUGCACAAUGGGGGAAACCCUGAUGCAGCGACGCCGCGUGGAGGAAGAAGGUCUUCGGAUUGUAAACUCCUGUUGUUGAGGAAGAUAAUGACGGUACUCAACAAGGAAGUGACGGCUAACUACGUGCCAGCAGCCGCGGUAAAACGUAGGUCACAAGCGUUGUCCGGAAUUACUGGGUGUAAAGGGAGCGCAGGCGGGAAGACAAGUUGGAAGUGAAAUCUAUGGGCUCAACCCAUAAACUGCUUUCAAAACUGUUUUUCUUGAGUAGUGCAGAGGUAGGCGGAAUUCCCGGUGUAGCGGUGGAAUGCGUAGAUAUCGGGAGGAACACCAGUGGCGAAGGCGGCCUACUGGGCACCAACUGACGCUGAGGCUCGAAAGUGUGGGUAGCAAACAGGAUUAGAUACCCUGGUAGUCCACACCGUAAACGAUGAUUACUAGGUGUUGGAGGAUUGACCCCUUCAGUGCCGCAGUUAACACAAUAAGUAAUCCACCUGGGGAGUACGACCGCAAGGUUGAAACUCAAAGGAAUUGACGGGGGCCCGCACAAGCAGUGGAGUAUGUGGUUUAAUUCGACGCAACGCGAAGAACCUUACCAAGUCUUGACAUCCUGCGACGAUGCUGGAAACAGUAUUUUCCUUCGGGACGCAGAGACAGGUGGUGCAUGGUUGUCGUCAGCUCGUGUCGUGAGAUGUUGGGUUAAGUCCCGCAACGAGCGCAACCCUUACUGUCAGUUACUACGCAAGAGGACUCUGGCAGGACUGCCGUUGACAAAACGGAGGAAGGUGGGGAUGACGUCAAAUCAUCAUGCCCCUUAUGACCUGGGCUACACACGUGCUACAAUGGCGCAUACAAAGAGAAGCGACCUCGCGAGAGCAAGCGGACCUCAUAAAGUGCGUCGUAGUCCGGAUUGGAGUCUGCAACUCGACUCCAUGAAGUCGGAAUCGCUAGUAAUCGUGGAUCAGAAUGCCACGGUGAAUACGUUCCCGGGCCUUGUACACACCGCCCGUCACACCAUGGGAGUCAGUAACGCCCGAAGUCAGUGACCCAACCGUAAGGAGGGAGCUGCCGAAGGUGGGACCGAUAACUGGGGUG